GAUGAAGAACGCAGCGAAAUGCGAUAAGUAAUGUGAAUUGCAGAAUUCAGUGAAUCAUCGAGUCUUUGAACGCACAUUGCGCCUCCUGGUAAUCCGGGGGGCAUGCCUGUCCGAGCGUCAUUGCUGCCCUCAAGCACGGCUUGUGUGUUGGGCCCCCGUCCCCGGUUUCCCCCGGGGACGGGCCCGAAAGGCAGCGGCGGCACCGCGUCCGGUCCUCGAGCGUAUGGGGCUUUGUCACCCGCUCUGUAGGCCCGGCCGGCGCCAGCCGACACCCAACUUUAUUUCUAAGGUUGACCUCGGAUCAGGUAGGGAUACCCGCUGAACUUAAGCAUAUCAAUAAGCGGAGGA
rnacentral:misc_RNA from 1 species